rnacentral:rRNA from 1 species
CCUACGGGAGGCAGCAGUGAGGAAUAUUGGUCAAUGGGCGAGAGCCUGAACCAGCCAAGUCGCGUGAAGGAUGACGGCCCUAUGGGUUGUAAACUUCUUUUGUAUGGGGAUAAAGUCAAUCACGUGUGAUUGUUUGCAGGUACCAUACGAAUAAGGACCGGCUAAUUCCGUGCCAGCAGCCGCGGUAUUACGGAAGGUCCGGGCGUUAUCCGGAUUUAUUGGGUUUAAAGUGAGCGUAGGCUGGAGAUUAAGUGUGUUGUGAAAUGUAGACGCUCAACGUCUGACUUGCAGCGCAUACUGGUUUCCUUGAGUACGCACAACGUUGGCGGAAUUCGUCGUGUAGCGGUGAAAUGCUUAGAUAUGACGAAGAACUCCGAUUGCGAAGGCAGCUGACGGGAGCGCAACUGACGCUUAAGCUCGAAGGAGUGGGUAUCAAACAGGAUUAGAUACCCCGGUAGUC